rnacentral:piRNA from 1 species
UAGUUCUGGAAAGUCUCUAAAUGUACUA